rnacentral:misc_RNA from 1 species
CAACCCUCAAGCCCAGCUUGGUAUUGGGUGCCGUCCCCCGGGGCGCACCUGGAAAUUAGCGGCGGUGCGACCGGUGAUCAAGCGUAGUAACUACUCCCGCUUCGAGACACCCGGGCGUGCCGGCCGGACAACACCCAAUUUUUCUAU